rnacentral:lncRNA from 1 species
GGAGGGGUGUGACAAGGGAAAAUGGUGUUAUAAUGAGUUUAAUGGGGGAAGGGAUAGCUAAAAGAUGAAUGGGAAGUAUAAUAAUGAGGGGAACAAUGGAAGAGAAAAUUGGAAAAAAAUCAAGGAUUAGGUGAAAAGGAUUAAAUGCAGAGGGAAAAGUGGUGACAAUGAGAUGAUUACAAGAAAUGAGCUAAUGCAAGGGAAAAUAAAAUACAACGAAAAUAAUUAGAGAAGGGGAAUUGGGAAUUGAGGAAGACCAAAAAAUGAU